UGGAAUCUCUGCCUGGUACCCAUGGGAGAGAAACCAAGAGAGCAAGAGACUGAGAGAGAAGGAAAAGAGAGGCUGUGAAUUUCUAUAUAAUAAUGCUGGUCAUACAGCGGCUCUUUCUAGGAGUCUAGUUUCUUGCUAAUUGCAGAUGAAGCCUGAUCUGAUGGAUCCCCCUCGCCUUGAGAAUGCUCUGAUACUCUGAGACCUGGAGCUGGAUGUUUAGGAUAAUGCCUUCCUUGGAGCCUCACGCUUUGGGAAGGUGGUGAUUGACUGAUUCGUGCAUGUCCAUGCAAUUUGGCGCAUUCAGCUGCGUGCUUGCGGAUGUGGAUGUAUUUCACAGAAGCAGCAGCCUGCCUUCCCUUCCCUGGAUUCCAUCUGCUGUGCGAAACAAGAUCUGCAGUCAUUCCCAGGUACGUGGGACUUCUCUAGGCUAGAAGGUCUGUACAGCACAGACCAAGGAACUUCCUUCCUAUGAGGUUUAGUUUAGAAUACAGGAGAGUCAACUCUUUCCCAUGUUGUGACGUUUACCAUGUGCAAUUUACUGUCGGACAAGUUAACCAGACCUGCAUAAAGAAUAUCCAAAAAAUCUGAUCAACAUAGUCAGCUAAUCUAUAGCACUCAGAUCCAUAGUUCUUCCAACCUGUAUAGCCAAAGACUGGAAAUUUUUAUCCCAUUUUGUUCUUUUUCUGAUUUUAUUGGAUAAUAAUAUUGAAUUCUAGGACUUGGGUCGCUUUCCUUGUUUUCUGGUUAAUUUUUUUUUACAAUUUUCUUUUUAUUAAUAUUAUCCAGAUAUGGAACUAUAUAUUGCAAACCUGUUUUGUGACUAGCCUGACCAUCUCUUUCUGUGUCGCACCAUUGAUUAGACCCACUUUUGAUGAUGGUAGACACAGCCACACAUGACUAUCAGCUCUGGUUAAUGUCCCUGGCUUAUUUCAGGAUCAUUGCCAUGACAGAAACAUGUCAGUAAUAGGUGGUUUCCACUGAACAAUGACUUGUAGACUGUGGCCAUGCAAGCAGAGCAAAGAGAAAAGAUCAGCAAUUAUCCAGUGGAUGUGAUCCAUGCUGACAGGCAAUCUGGAUAAUUCAAAUAGAAACAACUUCUUUUGCCUCACUGGCAGGUUUGGGGCUGAUUUAGUGAGAUCAUUGUUUAACUUUCUUUGCCUGUGGAAAUGUAGUACGUGUGUUUGCUGGUUAAGUGAGGGUUUGGGGGUUAUAACCACAGCAUCUGUUCAUUUGACAUUCAAGUUUCACUCUGGUUUGGAAGCCCUUGUGCCUACAAUUUAAAAGCAGCAAUACACACCUAACUCCCAGCUGUCUGGGAACUCAGACUGCAUAUGCUUCUUGGUUUUCUAAUCUGCCCAGAGAAAUAAAACCAUCACCUGAGCCAAAGAAUAGUUUGCCUAAUUGGAUUUAAAACAAAAAAAAAUGUAGAGACACACACAGUGUGUUCUAAUGUCGCAGUUGUCUGAGCGACAUUGCUAGCUGAGCCAGACCACUUACCUAGACUUGAAGAUUUACAUUUUGAUGAUGUUUUUCAAGUGCUAUUUUAUCCAGAGGAAGAAAAAGCAGUAAUUUAAGCAGCUGCAGAAUUCCUCACACAUCUGCAGGAAGUCCCUCCUUCUGCCUUGGGCAGCACAGCAUAAUGGAUAGACCACAAACUUUAGAGUCGAUUUGACCUGGUUCAAAUCCCAGCUCCAAAACUCAUUAGCAAUAUUAUCUUGAGCAAGAUACUUCAUCUUUUCCAGCAUCACUUGCCUUAUUUAUAAAAUGUGGAUGACAACCAUUUUGAUAACUUCAAGGCUGACUUGAGGAUUAAAGUUUAUGUAUUCAAUGCACAUCUGUUGAUUGCCUACCAUGGAUCAGGCACUGUUCUGGGCACUGGAGAAAUGGCAGUGAACCGAGCAGACAGAAACACUGCCUUUGGGGAGUUGAUAAUUUAUCAGGGGAGAUAAACAAAGACAAGAUUAUUAAGGAGAAUAAAUAGCAGGUGAGAUGGUGGUAAGAGCCAGAGAAGAAACAUAAAACGUGGGAAGGGGGCAGGGAAUGAUGGUGCAGAGAGAGAUGGAACUGUGAUGGGGAGUUAUAGAAGGCUUCACUGAGAAGUUGAUCAAUAAAGAGGUGAGAGAGUAGGCUGUGGGGAUAUUUGGGAGAAGAGUGACUUGGGUUGAACUGUGUCUCCUCAAAGAGAUAGAUGAAAGUUCCAAAGACCAGUAAUUCUGAGUGUAACCUUCUUGGGAAACAAGGUCUUUACAGAGGUCAUUGAGUUUAACAUGGUCAUUAGGGUGGGCCCUAAUGGAAUAUGCUGGUGACCUUAUAAAAAGUAGAAAUUUAGACACAGAAACAGGUACAGAGGGAAGAUGAUGUGAAGACACAAAGAAUGCCUGCAGUGUGCCUGGAGUGAUGUUACUACAAGCCAGGGAACACCAAGGAUUGCUGGCAAACACCAGGAGCCAGGAGAGGCGAGGAAGAAUCCUUGCCUAGAGCCUACAGAGGACGGAUGCCCCUGCUGAUGUCUUGACUUCAGACUUCUGGCCUCUAGAAUCAUG
rnacentral:lncRNA from 1 species